UUCUGCAUUCUAGGACCUCAUC
rnacentral:piRNA from 1 species